rnacentral:rRNA from 1 species
UGGGGAAUAUUGCACAAUGGGGGAAACCCUGAUGCAGCGACGCCGCGUGAACGAAGAAGGUAUUCGUAUCGUAAAGUUCUGUCCUAUGGGAAGAUAAUGACAGUACCAUAGAAGAAAGCUCCGGCUAAAUACGUGCCAGCAGCCGCGGUAAUACGUAUGGAGCGAGCGUUGUCCGGAAUUAUUGGGCGUAAAGGGUACGCAGGCGGUUUAAUAAGUCGAAUGUUAAAGAUCGGGGCUCAACCCCGUAAAGCAUUGGAAACUGAUAAACUUGAGUAGUGGAGAGGAAAGUGGAAUUCCUAGUGUAGUGGUGAAAUACGUAGAUAUUAGGAGGAAUACCAGUAGCGAAGGCGACUUUCUGGACACAAACUGACGCUGAGGUACGAAAGCGUGGGGAGCAAACAGGAUUAGAUACCCGCGUAGUCCCUGAGCGGGCUGGCAAGGCGCAU